GAACGAAUAUUCCGCAAUGCACGAAAGUGUGACGGAGCAAUGCCGCGUGUGGGAUGAAGCAUCUAGGUGUGUAAACCACUGUCAGGUUUUAGAAAGUUCUGAUCAGGACCAGGGGAAGGGCCGGCUAACUUCGUGCCAGCAGCCGCGGUAAUACGAAGGGCCCGAGCGUUAAUCGGAAUCACUGGGCUUAAAGCGUGCGCAGGCGGACCAGUAAGUAUCUUGUGAAAUCCCUCGGCUCAACCGAGGAACUGCUUGGUAUACUGCUGGUCUUGAGCGUGGUAGAGGCGGUCGGAACGAUAGGUGGAGCGGUGAAAUGCGUAGAUAUCUAUCGGAACGCCGAAGGUGAAGACAGGCCGCUGGGCCACUGCUGACGCUCAGGCACGAAAGCGUGGGGAGCGAACGGGAUUAGAUACCCCGGUAGUCCACGCCCUAAACGAUGUGCACUGGGUCCGGGAAGUACUGACGCUCUCCGGAUCGAAGGAAAACCAUUAAGUGCACCGCCUGGGGAGUACGGUCGCAAGGCUA
rnacentral:rRNA from 1 species